UUGGUCAGGGCAGGUCACCUGUAGCACUUAUAAACCUUUCACAGGAUCCCAGUGGCACAUGAGCUGUUCAUUCAACAUGAUGGCUGUUUGGUGCAUGUCAGGGGCUUUGCUCCUUGUUUUGCUGACUGGUUUGAGUUACAGUUACCCUAUGAAGCAAGCUCAGUCCAGUUUUCAGAAUGCACCAGCACCUCCAGGAUAUGCUCAAGGCUCUUCUGCAGGCCCAGCUCCCCCUGGCUCUAAACAAGGGAUUUCCUGGGCUGUUGCACCUCCUAGUCCCUUUUCUGCUGGAGCAUCCACCGGACGUAGCACUCAGCAGUUUGCCUCCAGUGGAUCGGCCCCUCAACCACUUGGCCUUAGCAUUGUGAGCCGGCCUGAUUCUUCUCUUCCACAGUACCAGGCAGGUGACUGAUCCAGGAACAGAAAAGCUUUGAGCAUGGCAACUCUGAAUCUGAGACCGAAGAGCAAGGUUCCAUACCACCACCUCCUUUUGUCUACGCUGCACCACCUCCACAAGGCUUUAAUGGCGGACCUAUGCCAUCACGCCUGGUCCCUUAUCCUUAUCCUUACCCAAAUCCUUACCCUUACUAUGACUACAUGUUCCUGACUGGCCAGUAUCCUCCAGGCACGUAUACUUACACCAGCAACAGCUUUGAGCAGGGGAGGGACAGCUGGGGGGACGCUCGCUACACAAGGGACAACUAUCCCAGCACUCAGCAGGCCAAGAACAUCCCUUAUAAACAUCGGACUGUCAGGCAGGCGAGUAUUGGGAGCGCUAGUCAUGGUCAGAGUGGUGCAGCGACUGGACAACAGCAGCUCUACAGUGGAGUUGAUGUACAAGGUUCUUACUCGCAGCUGGGCUGACAAUGCUGGAGAGAGCCAAGAUCAUUCAUGUAAAAGGUUGGCUAAAGGGUGACUCUGAAGAUUUGUCAAUAAAACAAAAGCUUAACUUUUA